rnacentral:rRNA from 1 species
UGGGGGAUAUUGCACAAUGGGCGCAAGCCUGAUGCAGCAACGCCGCGUGGGUGAUGAAGGCUUUCGGGUCGUAAAACUCUGUCCUAUGGGGAGAAAAAAAUGACGGUACCAUAGGAGGAAGCCCCGGCUAACUAUGUGCCAGCAGCCGCGGUAAUACGUAGGGGGCAAGCGUUAUCCGGAAUCACUGGGCGUAAAGGGUGCGUAGGUGGCUUAUCAAGCCAGAGGUGAAAGGCAUUGGCUCAACCAAUGUAAGCCUUUGGAACUGAUAGGCUUGAGUGCAGGAGAGGUAACUGGAAUUCCAAGUGUAGAGGUGAAAUUCGUAGAUAUGAGGAGGAACAGCAGUGGCGAAGGCGACUUACUGGACUGAAACUGACACAGAGGCACGAAGGCAUGGGUAGGGAACA